rnacentral:rRNA from 1 species
ACCGAAUCGUUUCCAGUGUCUAUAAUCCGUGGUAUAUUUCAUUGGCGAGUGUGUGCGUGCGUGUAUUGUGGCAGUGGCUUUUAGCUGCGCUCGGUAUGUGUGCUGCGUGUACUUGCUAGUGCCCUGUGCUGCGGUGGGACGUCAAGGUCAGUUCGUAUACUGCGGGAAAUGGCUGCCGAGGAGGUAGGGCUUACGCUUGCGUUUGUCUAUUAUAUCUUGGCGGACGAGUAGUCGCGGUUGGGACUGAGGUGUCUACAACGUGCUUUUGAGUGGGUCUGCGUCUCCGUGUGCGCCGUGUGCGGAUAGCUUGCUAUGUGCGUGUGGCUGUGUAUGGAUUGAUGCGGACUUUAACUUGUUGCCGUUCGGGACGUUGACGAAAUGGAGCGAUCCGACCCGUCUUGAAACACGGACCAAGGAGUCUAACAUGUGUGCAAGUGUUAGGGUGUCGAAACCCCAGCGCGAAAUGAAAGUAAAGGUCAGCGCAAGCUGUCUGAGGUAGGAAACGUUGCGGAUUUCGGUCUGCGAUGUGGCACUAUCGACCGAUCAUGAUCCUUCGUGGUGAAAGAUUUGAGUUUGAGCACAUAUGUUGGUACCCGAAAGAUGGUGAACUAUGCCUGAGUAGGGUGAAGCCAGGGGAAACUCUGGUGGAAGCUCGUAGCGAUUCUGACGUGCAAAUCGAUCGUCAAACUUAGGUAUAGGGGCGAAAGACUAAUCGAACCAUCUAGUAGCUGGUUCCCUCCGAAAUUUCCCUCAGGAUAGCUGCAACUUAUUUACGAUAGUUUUAUGAGGUAAAGCGAAUGAUA